ensembl:lncRNA
UCCAUCCUAUCCGGCUUCUGGGCUGUGACAUUCAAAAGGGUGCUGGAGGCGCGGUACCUCCGGGCGCUCCGCGGUGAGCGUCCUUUAAAGCCGCCGCCAGCCAGCGCCGCUGUAACCCCGCGCACCGGCGGGUCGCCGGCUCCUGCCCCCUUCAGUCUGCGCCGACGCGGCGGCCGGCUCCCGGGGACUCCCCGAGCUGGGAAUCUCCCGCCAGCUGCGCGCUGCGUCCCGGCGACGGCAGGAGCACGUGGAGCCACUGGGCAGCCAGAGCCGCCGCUCCAGCCCAGCCCAGCCCAGCCCAGCCCGGCGGCGAGAUGGAAGAUAUAAAACCAAAUGUGGAACUGAAAAGCAGUCAGGAGCAGUCUGUGUCCACAGAAGGUUCAGUGCUUUUGAAUGACUACGAUUUAACCAAACCUCAUGAAACAGAAAAUGUGGACGGUGCCGAAGGCCCAGCCAAUGAAGAUGAAGAUGUAGGAGGUGAGCCGUAGUGAACAAACCCAGAAACUAAAGAUAUGGUUGAGGCUUAAUAUAGAGGAGAAACCAGGAAAUCUCCAAAGGAAACUUGCAUUUGUGGGUUGAGUUGGGAGGAAUUCACUUUUGUUCACUUUACACGUCUACAUUUAAUAAUUUGUUGCAGGAUAUCAGCAAGUUUUAAGAAUCUAAGGUGCUUUUUCAGUAUCCAAGUUAUACUACAUUUCUAAAAUAGUAUGUUUAUUUUACUCUUUUCCAUUAAAAAGUGAUACGUGUUCAUUAUAGAAAGUUUGGGUGUUUUCCACCAUUCUCCAAUUCUCUAGUCACCAAUUGGGCAUCUGACAAUUCAAUUCCAUUCUUUAAAAAAAUUUUUUUUAUUAUAGUUGAUUUACAUCAUUAGGUCAGUUUCUGCUGUACAGCCAAGUGACCCAGUCAUACAUCUCUACACACUCUGUUUCUCAUAUUAUCUUUCAUCAUGUUCCAUCACAAGUGACAUAGUUCCCUGUGCCAUACAGCAGGAUCUCAUUGUCUAUCCAUUCUAAAUAUAGCAGUUUGCAUCCAUUAACCACGGACUCCCAGUCCAUCCCACUCCCUCCCCCUCCCCCUCCCCCUCGGCAGCCACAAGUCUGUUGUCCAUGUCUAUGAGUCUAUUUCUGUUCAUCUGUGGUAGUAGGGUCAUCUGUGCCAUAUUUUAGAUUCCACAUAUAAGUGAUAUCAUGUGAUAUCUUUCUCUUUCUGACUUACUUUCCUUAGUAUGAGAAUCUCUAAUUCAAUUCAUGUUGCUGCAAAGGGCAUUAUCUUGUUCUUUUUUAUGGCUGAGUAGUAUUCCAUUAUGUAUAUGAAUCACAUCUUAAUCCAUUCAUCUGUCGGUGGACAUUUAGGGUGUUUCCAUGUCUUGGAUAUUGUGAAUAGUGCUGCAGUGAACACAGGGGUGCAUGUAUCUUUUUCAGUGAAAGUUUUGUCGGGAUAUAUGCCUAGAAGUGGGAUUGCUGGAUCAUAUGGUAGUUCUACAUUUAGUUUUCUGAGGUACCUUCAUACUGUUUUCCAUAGUGGUUGUACCAAUUUACAUUGCCAACGAUAGCGUAGGAAGGUUCCCUUUCCUCCACACCCUCUCCAGCAUUUGUUAUUUGUAGUCUUAUUAAAUGAUGUAGCCAUUCUGACUGAUGUGAAGUGGUACCUCAUUGUAACUUUGAUCUGCAGUACUCUAGUAAUUAGUUAUGUUGAGCAUUUUAUCACGUGCCUGUUGGCCGUCCAUAUAUCUUUGGAGAAAUGCUUAUGUAGGUCUUCUGCCUAUUUUUCAAUUGGGUUGUUUGUUUUUUUGCUGUUGAGUUGUAUGAGUUAUUUGUGUAUUUUGGAGAUUAAGCCCUUGUUGGUUGCAUUGUUUGCAACUAUUUUCUCCCAUUCCAUAGUAUUUUUUUUAAUGGUUUCCUUCACUGUGCAAAAUCAAUUCAAUUUUUAUGCAAAUUUCUAGAAUUAGCACAGAACCCACAGAUUAAGGGUUCAGUCCCACAAGACUGCCCUCACUUCAGACACCAGUUGAAAGUACCAGAUCCCCAGGUUAUUACCUGAACAUCUGUCCAAUGUGACUACAAAUUCAGGAUUUCCCACAACGCCCCCCCCCAGUUUAAUAAUUUGAUAGAAUGACUCACAGAACUUAGGAAAGCACUUUAUUUACUGUUACUGGUUGAUUAUAAAGGACACAGUUCAGGAAAUACCAAAUGGAAGAGGUGCACAGGGCAAGGUAUGGAGGGUGUGGAGUUUCCAUGCCCUCUCUGACCACAACACCUUCCCAGCACCUUAACAUCUUCACCAGAAACUCACUGAAUCUUAUAGUUCAAGAGUAUUCCUAGAGCUCAGUCUCCAGUCUUCCCCCCCCUUCCUAGAGGUUGGUGGGUGGGGCUGAAAGUUCCAACUCCCUAAUCACUUGAUCUUUCUGGUGAUCAAUCCAUCCUGAGAGUGUCUAGGAGCUGCAUCCUGUCCUCUCAGUAGCAUAAACUCAGGUGUGAUUGAAAGGGGCUUCUUUGAAUAGCAAAAGAUGCUUUUAUCACUCAGGAAAUUCCCAGGGUUUUAGGAACUCUGUGCCUGGGACAAAGACCAAAUAUAUGUAUUUCCAUAUUUUGUCUUUCACCACAGAAUCUCAUAUAGAAAAAGGAUCAUCAAAGUCAAAAUAUACUGGUGUCACACUCAGUCACACUCAGUCAUUAGUAAUGAGUCCAGUCCAUCAUCAUGUUGUAAGAAAGUGUCUCCCGGGUGCGACCACUCAGGUUUGCAGACUUCCAUCUGAUUUUGUCAGGUUCCAAAGGCAGGAGUGGUCCCAUCAACACAUGUCUUCAUCUUUUCAAGCGUCUGGUAUAGUUGAGCUAAGAAAUAAUUCUAUUCCCUUGCUCUGAGCCUCUCUUGAGAUUGUGUUAUAAUAUUGGAUUUCCUUUAUUAAGCAGCUCAUUGAUUCAUUCCUUUACCUUCAAUUAUUAUUCCUCCUCUCCAUUUAUUUCAUACCCGGACUUCUCCCUGUUUGGAAGGAACUUUGGGUUCAGCCACUGUGCUGGUCUAGGUUUCAGGCAGAAAUACUAAUCCAGUGAAGGCCUCCCCUUCAGUUCACUCCUGUCCACUUAGGGUAGAGUUACUUAGGUACAGAACCAGUGGGCUUAUACCCCCAGGCAACAGCUACUUUGAGUGUCAACCUCAGUUUUGCCAAAUGGAGUAGAGGCCCACCCUGUCCUACCAGGCCUUCAGGAAGUCUGACAUAAAGGUUUAAAACUAUACUUACAGUUUCCUGUUUAGGCAUCAUCCCUAUUUCUGCCAGUUAUGGUUGCAUCCUUGAUCCCGAGACCAUAGGGCAUCAGAUAGGAAAGAGAAAGUUGAGGAAUGUAGAGAAGAAAAAAAAAGUAUAGUUAUCAUACCAGUGUCCUCUCCCCUUUGAAAGAAUCAUACAGCCAUGCCAUCACCGUCCCUUCCUCCCAUGGAAAAAACUGUAUCGUCAUUAUAGCAGCUCUCUCUCCCCUCACUUCCCCACAUCCACCAGAAAAACAGAGGACUCUGUCUAGUGGGGAGAACACUGCCUUAGCUCCUCUGACGUUGAGUGUGAACACACACUCCUGAAGACACAUAAACCAACCCUUCAUGCUUACAUCCCCCCCUGUUUUAAAUGACCCAUGUUUCAACAGCCUGUUCCAAUUCUCUAUGAAAGUGUUAUUCUGAGGAGAAUAUCUCUUUGGCCAUCCAUUGUUUGACAUUGUGAACCGUAAAGUGUAUUCCUUGGUCUGAACAAAUGUGGUUUGAUGGUCCAAAUUGGUGCAAUAUCUUCUGUUCCAGUUCUUUCAUAGUACUCUGAUCAUUCUCAUCUACCACCAGAUAAGCAAAGCCCAGUCCAGAGUCGGUGUCCAUUCUGUCAAAUCCUAUUUGUAGCCCCACUGGGACCAUUGGCCUUGGUUCAGUGUACCUACUUGCCAGCUAUGUGUGGGGUCUUCCCCUUGAGGAAGCACCCAUAUGCAUCCGUAGCCUCUGUUUCUCUUAUUGGCACACAGGAUAGUUCUUGGUGGUAUUUUGAGCCUCAGAGGAUGCAAAAGGAAAAUGUCCUUCUGCACCGCUUUGGUCCCUGAAUGUGUACUCAUUUCAUGGACCCAGAUGGCCACCUCAAGCUAGUGCACCAUGACAUCCACUUGCUUGUCAUCAUCCAAACCUGGAAGGGGAUUCUUCUGAUGGGCAUCAACCUGUCCUACUUGAAUGUACCAAUCAAAUUCCCAUGGUGAUUUCCAUAAGGCUAUGCUCCAUGUGAGCAUCCCUUUAAUAGGCCAGAUUUCCAUUGCCCUCUGCCUAACAGUAUGGCCAGGCCAUUGGUCAUCACUCCUAAGUCAGGUAAAAACUGAAACCUAGAGGCUUUUAUUAUUGUCCAAUUUUUCCGUCACUCCUUGGGAAACAGCAUGUAAUUCAUCCCAUCAAACUGAUUUAUUUUUAUCUUUUCAGUUAGAAUGGUAGUCUUCCAAACAGAAUAUUGGCCAUUUACCUUGGAACUCCUGUCCAUAAACCAAGCAGCCCUUUGUUGGUGAGUCAGGAGCUGUUUAUAGGGCACUGUCUAAGUGAUGAUAGAAUCUAGCUCCUCCCACAGUUCCAAAGUCAUCCUAGAAGAGGCUCCCUGCUUGUGAGUAUCUCCUGCUUACAUUCCCUUUGUAGCAUAACCCUGUAUAAACCAUUUCCGUUUUAUUUUAUUUUAUUACUUUUUUUUUUUUUUUUUGGCUGAGCUCACGGCGUGUGAAAGUUCUCAGGCCAGGCAUUGAACCUGCACCACAGCAGCAGUCUGAACCACAGUGGUUACAACAUUGGAUCCUUAACCUGCUGAGCCACCAGAGAACUCCCCAUUUCCAUUUUAUUAUAGAACUCUUCUGGGCAUUGGAUGGCAAUCGCCCAUUAGAGUGUUUUUCUGAUAUUACCUAAUACAUCAUGAGUAUUUUAGAUAGUAAGAUUAUUUUUUGUUCUGCAAUCAUAGGGGAAGUUUGAAUUAAUGUCUGAUAUCAGCCUACUAAUUUUCACCUCAGAUAAUUCUCUGUUCCAUCAUCUCAAUAGUCGUCACUAGGAAGUGCUUUCAGUCUUUGCUGUAAGUCCCAAUCUAUGCUCCACAUAGAGCUAUCACACAAAAUUUGUCUGUACCAGCACUCCAGCUUCUCUUCUACACUGUGUGGACUUGGGCAAUCCUAUCCAUUCCCGUUUAGCAUGUCCAAUUAAUAUUGCCUGGAGGAUAGAUUUACAUGCCUCCUGUUUAACAGAAAUAGUUCCCCAGUCAGACACAACAUCCAUCCCCAUAAGACAUUCAGGUAAAAGAGACUCAACCAUUUCUGAUACCAGUUUUCAUACAAACUUUCACCUUAAUCCAUGAACCCUUAUAUCACUUUAAAAAAAUCAAAGUAAUGAUUCACAAUGUUGUGUUGAUUUAUGGUGUACAUCAAAGUGAUUCAGUUAUAUGUAUAUAUACAUAUUCUUUUUCAUUAUGGUUUAUUAAGGAUACUGAAUAUAGUUCUCUGUGCUAUACAGUAGGAUAUUCUUGUUUGUCUCUUUUAUAUGUAGUAGUUUGUAUCUGCUAAUCCCAAACUCCUAAUUUGAAGCAUUGAUGGUAUCAUGGUUAGCAUAACUGCCUUCCAAACUCCUAAUUUAGAGCAGGAUCAAGAUGGCAGAGGAUUAAGAUGCGUUAUUCACCUUCUCCCACAACACAUUAAAAAAAAAUCUACAUGUAGCAUGAUUUGCACAGAACAUCUACUGAACACUGGCAGAAGACCUUAAACCUCCAAAAAGGGCAAGAAACCCUCCACACAACUGGGUAGAACAAAAGUAAAAAGAGAGAGAGAGAAAAAAAAAAAAGAAUCAGAACAGGACUUGCACUCCUGAGUGGGAGCUGUGAAAGAGGAAAGGAACCCACACCCUGGGAAGCCACCUAACUGAUGGAGAGAUCAGCUGAGAUGGAGGAACCUCAAAGCCUCAGAGAAAAGUGCAGCGGCUGGACCGAGGAAGGCACAGCAGAGAGAACUGCACAGACCACUGGUAUCACCUCCCCAGACACCACAGCCUGAGACCCUUGGAAGGGGACUGGCUGAUGAGACUCAAGUCCAGAGGUCAGUUCUGAGGAGAGGACUAGGGUAGGCUGUGUGGAGACAGCCUGAGGGCCUACAGAGCAGUGCACAAAGGGCUGGGGAGCAGAGAACCACAGCCAAGGGAAUUCGGGAGGAGGUCUGAGCCCACAGGAGAAGCAAGGCACCAUUGUCUGGGAGGAAGGGCAGAUUUCCAUAGAAAUAUUUUUCUCUGUGCACACUCAGACUGUUGGAGGAUGGGGCUACUGGUGGUAAGGUGCCGUUUGUGCAGUCUACAGGUGAUGAGCCCCUCUUGUAUGGGCUACAGACGGCAGGGGAAAACCCAAGGCAUUUCAGACUCCAGAGGAGGGUGUGGCCUUCUGCCACUAGGGGUCCGUGAACAGGCAUCACCUGGACCCCAGUCAACUCAGCAGUUGGCACAGAGGUGGGCACUGCAACUGAGCACCACCCCUGGAAGUGUGCACACCCUGCUGCUGCCACUGCCAAAUUAUCCGGGCACCACCUACACCUGCCUGAGAGUCACUGCCCCUUCCCAAGGCCCUGCAACUAGGAGCAGCCUGCACCACCUUUCCACUGUCAAGGCCCAGGAACCAGCCACUGGCUACUAGCCCUGCCCAUUUCCUCCAUCUCUCUGGAAGCACACUGAGCAUUCUAUCAGGGGCUAACAGUCUGCACACACUGAGGAAAGAGACAACAAGCAUCCAAACCAAAAGCAGUCCUCACACCAAAAAUAAAUAGUAAGCCCUCACAAAAUACCCAGGGGGUACUCUUGCAUAUAAAUAACUCUCCAAGACUACAAUAGUUGUUUUCCCUAAACUCACAAAAUAAGAAAAAUAUAAGCAAAAUGAAGAAGCUUAGGAACCAUUUCCAGUUAAAAGAACAGGAGAUUUCACCUGAAGGAGCAAACAAUGAAAAAGACAUCUGCAGUCUAAUAGACACCAAAUUCAAAAAGGAGAUAGUGAAAAUACUGAAGGAAUUAAAAGCUGAUAUGAGCAGUAAUGCAGAUUACUUUAGAAAGGCACUAGAGGGAAUUCCCAUCAUGGCUCAGUGGUUAAUGAAUCCAACUAGGAACCAUGGAGUUGCAGGUUUGAUCCCUGGCCUUGAUCAAUGGGUUAAGGAUCCAGUCUUGCCAUGAGCUGUGGUGUAGGUCUCAGACGUGGCUCAGAUCUGGCGUUGCUGUGGCUGUGGUGUAGGCUGAUGGCUAUAGCUCCGAUUUGACCCCUAGCUUGGGAACUUCCAUAUGCCACAGGUGCAGCACUAAGAAGACAAAAAGACAAAAAUAAUAAUAAUAAAAAUAAAGAAAACAGAUAUAAAGAUAUAGGAAGCACAGAGGGCCCCAAGCAAGUUGAAAAAGAGACCCACACCAAGACGUAUUAUAAUAAAAAUGACAAAAGUUAAAGAUAAAAGAGGAUUCUAAAGGCAGCAAGAGAAAAACAAACAGUUAAUUAUAAGGGAACCCUCCUAAGGCUAUCACCUGAUUUCUCUACAGAAACACUACAGGCCAGAAGAGAAUGGCAAGAUAUAUUCAAAGUUCUAGAAGGGAAAAAUCUGCAGCCUAGAAUAUUCUACCCAGCAAGAAUAUCAUUUAAAAUAGCAGAAAUGAAGAAUUUAUCCAACAAAAAAACCUAAAAGAGUACAGGAAUACUAAACCCAUUCUAAAAGAAAUACUGGGAGUUCCCAUCGUGGCGCAGUGGUUAACGAAUCGGACUAGGAACCAUGAGGUUGCGGGUUCGGUCCCUGCCCUUGCUCAGUGGGUUAAUGAUCCGGCGUUGCCGUGAGCUGUGGUGUAGGUUGCAGACACGGCUCGGAUCCCGCGUUGCUGUGGCUCUGGCGUAGGCCGGUGGCUAUAGCUCCGAUUC